CCUAAAUAAGAACAUUAAUAAAGUCCCUGUUACUAUAAUGCAGUAGUUCUAGUUUUGCAAUGCAGGACAAGGCUAUGUAAAAUGAGUCAGAACAUCUGGGUUACCUGGUCGAGAGAGAGAUAACCCUAUAAUCAUAGCCCUUACUUAGCUCACAGCCUCAUGACCAAGACGAAGAACUGUUCCAGAUGGAAAUUUGCACUUCCAUCGAAUUACAAGUAAAAUGGAAAUCGGGAGAUUCCUUUCUCAAUGUACUUUUAACUUUACUAGUAAAACAACUUACCUUUCUUAUCACUCAUCUUUAGCUGUUUCAAAACACUAACACAAUACAGAUUCAACAAGAUUUACUAAUCCAAUCAAAUAAAAGGCAAGUUUAUAACUCUUUUA